CCGAACUGUAACAGGCAACUUCUCAUUCUGAUGCAGUGUUCUGGCAAUUAGAGUAAUGGAGUACUAUAUUAAUUGUCUCGUACUUUACAGCCAUGCAAUUGUCAAAAUAUUGCAAGCCCACAUCUUCCACAAUCAGAAUACCUGUCAUAUGAAACACUGUAACUGAUAACUUGCAUCCAAUCAUUCCAUCUUUGUAUCAUUUUCUUUAUCGCUCGGUGAACCACAACCUUUGAAUCACAUAGCCAAGUUUAACCAUAUUUACAGGUAGUCAUAUCAAUCCAACAUACAAGCCUG